rnacentral:rRNA from 1 species
AAUCUUCCGCAAUGGACGAAAGUCUGACGGAGCAACGCCGCGUGAGUGAUGAAGGCUUUCGGGUCGUAAAACUCUGUUGUUAGGGAAGAACAAGUGCUAGUUGAAUAAGCUGGCACCUUGACGGUACCUAACCAGAAAGCCACGGCUAACUACGUGCCAGCAGCCGCGGUAAUACGUAGGUGGCAAGCGUUAUCCGGAAUUAUUGGGCGUAAAGCGCGCGCAGGUGGUUUCUUAAGUCUGAUGUGAAAGCCCACGGCUCAACCGUGGAGGGUCAUUGGAAACUGGGAGACUUGAGUGCAGAAGAGGAAAGUGGAAUUCCAUGUGUAGCGGUGAAAUGCGUAGAGAUAUGGAGGAACACCAGUGGCGAAGGCGACUUUCUGGUCUGUAACUGACACUGAGGCGCGAAAGCGUGGGGAGCAAACAGG